GGUUACAUAAACUAAUUGUUUAAAGAUUAACUACAUAAUAGCACUGUUACGAAAAGUUUAGGAAACGUUAAAACAGGCGGUUACGGACUAAUAGACGAUUGUUAUUUUUAAUUAGCGGCCAAUUUAAACUCAUUUUCGUGCAUUCCGAUUCGGCGAACCGGCGACGGUCGUGUCACAAGCCGUGAAUCAUAUUAUUGGGUAUUGUAAUAUUCCUGC